AAUGCACUAGAGGUUUUGGUGUGUUCCAUAUGUUAUGUUUCACAUAGUAUAACCUUGUGAGCAAUCAUGAUCAACGAGUGGAGAGACACAUAUCUUAUAUAGAUAGAUGUUAUGUGGGAUAUUCCAACAAACCAUUCGAGCAUAUAAAGUUAGAAGUGAAACA
rnacentral:sRNA from 1 species